rnacentral:RNase_P_RNA from 1 species
GGAGCGGCCCAGGUGGUCGCCGGCCGCCGAUGCGGCGGGAGGAAAGUCCGAGCUCCCCAGGACGAGAUGCCAGUUAACGGCUGGUGGGGGCGACCCCGAGGAAAGUGCCACAGAGAGUAGACCGCCGCGCCAUUUGGGCGCCCCCGUGGUGUCCCAGAUCGCGCGGUAAGGGUGAAAGGGUGAGGUAAGAGCUCACCGGUCCGCCGGUAACGGUGGGCGCAUGGCAAACCCCAUCUGGAGCAAGACGGAAUAGGGAGGCGUUCGAGGGUGGUCCGCCCGAGCCUCCGGGUUCGUCGCUCGAGGCCCGCGGUGACGCGGGUCCUAGAUGAAUGAUCACCACCCGGAUUCCGGCGACGGAUCCGGGAACAGGACUCGGCUUAUCGGUCCUCCAACC